CACACACACACACACACACACACACACACGCCCUACUCAUUUCCUUUCCCUUCCAACCCAGCCCCACCUGCUUAUUAGACUUGGACCUUGUGUCACCGGGAUGAUUCUCACUCUGCACUGACACCUCAGCUUUUCAUACCUGGUGCCUGGAAUACGCCCUGACCCCCCAGCGUGACCCUUCCCCAUCCGGGAGCCCCCACCCCAUACACACAUUUGUGCUCCGGGGGCGGCUUCUGGAGAUGGGAGCCCUAGGCAAAGGUCGCAGUAGGCGGCACUUAAGGGGAAGUUUUGCAUUUCUCUUUAUGGCUGUUUCUAGUACUUUCUUUAAUUCUUCCUUUCUCCUGGCUGUUUUGCUUUUCAACAUCGGAGAUUAAGCCCCAACGCAUUCUCACGCGCGGAAACCCCUAGUACUGCAGGUGGUCACUUCAGCAUUUCUAAACCUCUAAGAGCAGAUGAUCAGCCUGCUAGGUUUCCUAGAUUUUCCCCUUUCUUUGUGGAAGAUGGAGCUCCGGGGCUUUCAGCGAGUCCCAGGGCGUGGUGGAAGAGGAAGAGGAGGGGAGGGAAUGAGUUUGGCACCGGGCUGCAGCGGGGGCCUUCGGCUGCCUUGUCUUCCGAAGCUAAAUCCUGCUGGACACCACCACCUCCACCACAUUGAAAGCCUCUACCUCUCUUUUCGCCGGUAUUUCACACCCAACCCGAUGAUUUCGACAAGCUGUGCAGGUGGCUGCUUUGCGGAGAGAAUUCGCUGCUGCCGCCGCGGUCACCGGGUGUGGCCUCCUCGCAGGAGAACUCUGCACCGAGCUCCCCGCUGGGGCUGACAGAGAAUAGCCGCGUGAUUCCGCCCCGGUUCACCAGUGCGCCCUAAGAGGAAACACACAUUUCAGCAGACAGGUCGGAGUGGCUUUGCCGGUGACCCGCAGAGGACGAAGCACAGGAGCCCGGGUGAAGAGGGCGGGGUGAGGUUUAUGCUCCAUUCUGAUACCUCAACCUUCUCGAGGCAGAGGGAUGGACUGCCCGGAGAACUUCCCGGGGAUUUCUAAACAGUCACUCUAGGACUUGCAGUAAUGCGCAUUCCGAAACAUCCGUGUGGGCUGUGCCUUCUCCGAGCUCCGUCCAUGCUCUCGCACACUCAAGGAUGUCAAGCCUGCGGUCCUGGGCUGCCCACAACCUUGGCCCAGGCAGACCUGGCAGGGCGCUUACUACGAUGACUUUGUAGCCUGCAACCCUUGUCAUUCACCAGCGACUCAGCAGUAGCAGAUGCUUUGGUGCCAGAGAUGAGGGGCAGAAGGAGACCCGGGGAAAUCAUAUGUUUUUCUGCCCGCGGUUACCCAUAGGAAGAGGCUGAGCAACCGGAAGAAAGCCAGAGAGAGAGAGGAAGCGGACACACAGGGCAGAGAAGCCCACGCACCAGGUAUGUAUCCUGACACGGACGGAUGGGAAAGGAAACCAUAAUCUUAUAACUUAAGAAGAUGAGGGAAAGGGGAAUUGACAUUUAUUA